UACAGAGACCUCAAGCGUUAUCCGGAUUUAUUGGGCGUAAAGCGUUCCGAAAUGCGGUUUGGUAAGUCGGAUGUGAAAUCCUCGGACUCAAUCCGAGAAUGGCAUUCGAAACUUCCAGACUAGAGAAAUGUAGAGAGUAUAGGAACUCUAGGUGUAGCAGUGAAAUGCGUUGAUAUCUAGGGGAACACCAAUGGCGAAGGCAAGUACUUGGACAUUUUCUGACGCAGCUAGGACGAAAGCGUGGGUAGCGAAUGGG
rnacentral:rRNA from 1 species